rnacentral:rRNA from 1 species
AUUGAACGCUGGCGGCAGGCCUAACACAUGCAAGUCGAACGAGUGGCGGACGGGUGAGUAAUGUCUGGGAAACUGUCUGAUGGAGGGGGAUAACUACUGGAAACGGUAGCUAAUACCGCAUACCAUCAGAUGUGCCCAGAUGGGAUUAGCUUGUUGGUGGGGUAAAGGCUCACCAAGGCGACGAUCCCUAGCUGGUAUGAGAGGAUGACCAGCCCCAAGCGAACGGAGCCACGGUCCAGGCUCCUACAGGAGGCAGCAGUGGGGAAUAUUGCACAAUGGGCGCAAGCCUGUUGCAGCCAUGCCGCGUGUAUGAAGAAGGCCUUCGGGGUGUAAAGUACUUUCAGCGGGGAGGCGUGACCCGCAGAAGAAGCACCGGCUAACUCCGUGGCAGCAGCCGCGGUAAUUC